rnacentral:rRNA from 1 species
GACGUAGGGCGCGAGCGUUGUCCGGAUUUAUUGGGCGUAAAGGGCUCGUAGGCGGUUUGUCGCGUCGGGAGUGAAAACCCAGGGCUUAACUCUGGGCUUGCUUUCGAUACGGGCAGACUAGAGGUAUGCAGGGGAGAACGGAAUUCCUGGUGUAGCGGUGAAAUGCGCAGAUAUCAGGAAGAACACCCGUGGCGAAGGCGGCUCUCUGGGACGGUACUGACGCUGAGACGCGAAAGCGUGGGGAGCGAACAGG